AUUGAACGCUGGCGGCAUGCCUAACACAUGCAAGUCGAACGGCAGCACAGUAAAGACUUCGGUCUUUAUGGGUGGCGAGUGGCGGACGGGUGAGUAACGCGUAGGAAUCUGUCCUGGAUGGUGGGAUAACCCGAGGAAACUCGGGCUAAUAGCGCAUGAUAUCGAGAGAUCAAAAAGAGGGGACCCUUCGGGGUCUUUCGCUCUCGGAUGAGCCUACGUCGGAUUAGCUAUGUGGUGGGGUAAAGGCCUACCAAGACGACGAUCCGUAGCUGGUCUGAGAGGAUGACCAGCUACACUGGGACUGAGACACGGCCCAGACUCCUACGGGAGGCAGCAGUGGGGAAUCUUGGACAAUGGGGGAAACCCUGAUCCAGCGAUGCCGCGUGUGUGAAGAAGGCCUUCGGGUUGUAAAGCACUUUAGUUGGGGAAGAAAAGUAAUAAGUAAAUAAUUUAUUGCUCUGCCGGUACCCAAAGAAUCAGCACCGGCUAACUCUGUGCCAGCCGCCGCAGUAA
rnacentral:rRNA from 1 species